rnacentral:tRNA from 1 species
GCGCCCGUAGCUCAGUUGGAUAGAGCGCUGGUUUCCUAAACCGGAGGUCGUGGGUUCGACUCCCGCCGGGCGUACCA